rnacentral:rRNA from 1 species
GAUGAACGCUGGCGGCGUGCUUAACACAUGCAAGUCGAACGGAAAGGCCCAAGCUUGCUUGGGUACUCGAGUGGCGAACGGGUGAGUAACACGUGGGUGAUCUGCCCUGCACUUCGGGAUAAGCCUGGGAAACUGGGUCUAAUACCGGAUAGGACCACAUUUUGGAUGGUGGGGUGGAAAGUUUUUCGGUGUGGGUUGAGCUCGCGGCCUAUCAGCUUGUUGGUGGGGUAAUGGCCUACCAAGGCGUCGACGGGUAGCCGGCCUGAGAGGGUGUACGGCCACAUUGGGACUGAGAUACGGCCCAGACUCCUACGGGAGGCAGCAGUGGGGAAUAUUGCACAAUGGGCGCAAGCCUGAUGCAGCGACGCCGCGUGGGGGAUGACGGCCUUCGGGUUGUAAACUCCUUUCGCUAGGGACGAAGCGUUAUGUGACGGUACCUGGAGAAGAAGCACCGGCUAACUACGUG